GUUUUGCAGGUACGAUUCGAUUGAUGACCUCAUCAGGGAAGAAUGUUUUGCAGUCUUACAUGAGUUAAAGGGAUAGAAAGUGCAACAACCGUGGAAUAAAGGACUCGUGCUUUUGAGUAAUUCAGGAGGAGUACAUGCAUCACGAAGCCUUGAUUCUGGAAUGGUGUCCAGUCGAAGGAACAGUGGGAUUAUCCUACGGGAAGGGUCGGUUAGGGACUGGUCCGAGUUCAACAAUCCCUCGCCGUCCCCAAAACUGCUGUACUCACAGUCCUAUGUCGCAAUGAGGGGGUUGCUGGCCUCAGUGAUCUCCUUGGACUUUUUCCUGCUGUCGAGCAAGCUAAAAUCUGUGUGCGCGGCUAUGACUUCCCAGAGGCAUAGCCGAUCACAGGAGAGGUCAAAAUCAAAGGGGUUGACCUGCAGGAGAGUUGCAGUCCAUCUGCUGUUCUUUUUCAUGGUUGGCAUUUUCAUUGGGUUCAUGCCUUUGUUCUCUGUCGAUGUUUACAAGAAAAUAGUAUCCGAAAACGAGAGGCUUCCGUUCCAUGAUGGUGUGAUUGAGGUGGAAAUGAUGGGCACCAAAGUUAAGGAGUUGGAGACAGUUGUAGUAGAGAAAGAGGUCGAACUGAUUGACGAGCCUCAGGUUCAAGAGAGCCCUCCAGUUCCUGCAAUGUUGGAUGAUGAGGCAGAUUUUGCUGAAUCUUCACCUGCAUUACCUGCUAUUGAAGAAUCUGACAUUCCUGUGAAGAAGCUGCUGAUAAUCGUGACGAUCACUUCUGUUCGGCCACAACAGGCAUAUUACUUGAAUCGGCUAGCCCAUGUUUUGAAAGCUGUACAGGCACCUCUUUUAUGGUUGGUGGUGGAAUGGCCUGAACAGUCCUAUGAAACAGCAGAAAUUCUGAGGUCUUCUGGGGUUAUGUACAGGCAUCUUAUAUGUAGAAAGAAUACCACGAGUGUACGAAAGAUUGCUGUAUGUCAAAGGAAUAAUGCAAUCUAUCAUGUCAAAAGGCAUCACCUUGAUGGUAUAAUGCAUUUUGCUGAUGAAGAGCGGUCAUACUCAGCUGAUGUAUUUGAAGAAAUGCAGAAGAUCAGUGGAUUUCCUUUCCUAGCAUCACCACAUGUAAAACAGGGGAGAUUUAAGAUCCAACACAUCAGCGAAGUGGCGCCCUUGCUGACACAAGAAUACGUCCAGGUCUCGUAGAACACCUAACGUUGGUAAGUACUCCUAAUAUGCAAGUGGUUAUGCUGAUGUUGAUGAAUCGAUUGGUAUUUUGAGACUUGUAUUAUGUCUCCUUUGAGCAGGUUUUAGUUUCACCAGGAUUGUGCAGUGAUCUAGGGAUUGCGUAUUAGGAUAUUGAGGAUGGGAUUUUCACAAAUUGCUAUAGUCCAAUUAUUUUCUUCCCUUCUACCCUGAUACAUGCCAGAUCAUCUGUUAUAAUGGUGUUUGCUGCUGGAGGCACAUCCCGAUUCGUCGAUAGGGCUGAGUGCACCUGCCUCAUUCACAAGAUAAACGACGCUCCGCGUCAGCAUCCUCCCCGUUCGCGAUUGGCUCGAGCGGCACCGAUGGAGCGACGACUCUGUUUCCCAGAAGGCGAAAGGACGAUGAGAUCGACAGACGAUUCGUGCCGAUCGCACACCGGUAGGCGGUGGCGAGCCGCGUGAGAUCUCUCGCGUCCUCCCGGUUCUCAGGGACCACGACGUCCACGCCGACGCGCACCUCUACAACGCGCUAAUGAAGGCGAACGUCGCGGCGGACGACCCCGGUGCCGUCCUCAGGGUGUUCCGGCAGGUUUCAGUUACUGGUACAUUCUUGGUGAAUAAAGAACAUGUGGAAAGUCACAGGUGGUCAUGUAUGUUUGGGGAUGUUGAAGUACCAGCUGAGGUUUUGACCGAUGGCACGCUACGCUGCUAUGCACCAGCACACCAAUCAGGAAGAGUUCCAUUUUAUGUGACCUGUUCAAACAUGGUGGCUUGUAGUGAAGUGCGAGAAUUUGAGUAUCGUGAUUCUGAAGCUCAUUACAUGGAGACUUCUCGUUCCCAAGCCAAUGGUGUAAAUGAAAUGCAUCUACACAUUCGUCUUGAGAAGCUACUCACUUUGGGGCCAGAUGACCAUCAAAUGCUUGCUAUAAAUUCCUUAAUGCUUGAUGGGAAAUGGUCAAAUCAAGAAUCUUCUGUCAAGGAAGUAGUUUCCACUGCUAGGGUCCAAAGUUUAAAGAAACUGGUGAAAGAGAAGCUGCAUCAAUGGCUCAUCUGCAAAGUAAACGAUGAUGGAAAGGGUCCCAAUGUUCUGUGCAAGGAAGGACAGGGUGUGAUUCAUUUAGUAGCAGCACUGGGUUAUGAUUGGGCUAUAAGACCGAUAAUAAUUGCUGGUGUCAAUGUGAACUUCCGGGAUGCUCAUGGAUGGACUACACUCCACUGGGUUGCGUCUUUGGGAAGAGAGCGGACAGUUAGUGUUCUCAUAGCAAAUGGACACAAGAUCCCGAUGCGGCAGUGGCGGACAGCAACGGGCGCUCAACGCCAUCGCGCCUCCUGCGAACCCAUGGUGAGAUGUGUGGUCUCGAUCUAGAGUCGAAGGACUUCCCCAACACCCUUUCCUCCAUCGGCGCGACAUCGGCCAGCUCAUCUGCGACGAUGAGGCAUCUUCGACCGACUUCCCAACACCCCAUCCUCCAUCAAUGCGGCUCCAGUACCCCUUCCUCCAUCGGCGCGACAGCAUCCAGUUCAUAUUGAAUUUCCUCUCAAUUGUUUUUAACUUUCUAAUUUAUUAAUCGCUGGUGUUAGAACAGGUAGGUGGCGGCUAAGAAAAAUGAAGAUGGUGGCAGCUAAGAAACUCUAAAGCCACUUCUGAUUCACAUAUGAUGCGACCACAGAAAUUGAAGAUGUCGUGACCUGGGAAUAGAUUCGGCAGAAGUGGAUUAUUUGCAUGCUCAAUCUAUGUUCAUUGCUGAAGUUACCUUUCAAAUUCAAAUUCUCGGGUAGAGCCACCUUUAAUUGUGAUGUACAGAGAUAUCAGUAUCAUUAUCUAAAAUAUUAUCACAGAACUGAGGAUGGAGAAAAAAGGUGGAGCAUCUUCAAACAAGAACAACCGGGUACGGUUCCUCAAAUCCUCUGUUUGGUGGAGCAUCUUCAAACAAGAACAACCGGGGAUGCUUCUAGCUCUGGUACUCUUUUUUGAUAACAGGAAGUUCAAGGAUGUGAAUUUUCCACCAGCUAUGUCUCCCCCAAAACGGUGGGAUCAUGUGUGGUAUGCUCUAACAGGGUAUGGUAUUGGCUUGGUAGCUGCACUAGAUGCUGGGAUCUUGUCUUAGUCUCCUCAACAGCCUUACUGUACCUGCAUGGAGCCAUGGUAUAGUGAUAGUGUGACCAGUUGCCCCCCCUCGAAAUCCACUCCUUUCUCAUCUAUAUUUGCUUCAGGUGAUGUCCAUGUCAACUGGGCUAGCCAACAUGAGUUUGAAACAUAACAGUUUGAUGAGGAAGUACUACUACUAUUACAAUUGAUGCUUCAGUUCUACGACUUCUUUCAAACCAAGCGUCCACACAUAUCUUGAGCAUUCUCACUGGGCUUCUGUCCUUCAUGAUGGACGAUGCACUGACAACUGGAAGCAUCAAGACAUCAGAUGCAGAAAAGAGGCGUUUAGCAAAAGCUUCCCUUGCCUACAAUUGUGAGAGCAAAAACUGUCCGCACUUCAGGAAACUUUUCCCAGAGUAUGUUGAGAAGUACAAUCAACAGCUACAAUUGGAGAACACUGCUGCAGAGCCGGUGCCUCAGGAGAAUCCUGCACCUGCUCCAUCCCCUGCUGCCCAGCAAGCCCCGACCGUGGCCAAUAGGGCACAACCACUGGCGGAGGCGCGCCGUGACAAGAACCAGAAGAAGGCGGUGCCCUUCUGGAUGGUGCUGGUCAUGUUUUCAGUUUUCGGGGCUGUGAUGGCGUUGCCCCUAAUGCAACUUUGACAAUAAUAAAGACAAUAAGAACGUGUGAUGCCAGGGCCGUAAUUUUGUAUAGUUUUCUAUUGGUUUGUCUGAGUGACUCAGUUGGUCCCCUAGACUACCUACCACCUCGGAGUCGUAUUGAUGAACCUGUGAUGGUAUAUCUGAAGAACUUUUGUUCUCAGUUCUCA